rnacentral:rRNA from 1 species
UACGAAGGGGGCUAGCGUUGCUCGGAAUUACUGGGCGUAAAGCGUGCGCAGGCGGUUUCGUAAGUCUGUCGUGAAAUCCCCGGGCUUAACCUGGGAAUGGCGAUGGAGACUGCGAGGCUAGAGUUUGGCAGAGGGGGGUAGAAUUCCACGUGUAGCAGUGAAAUGCGUAGAGAUGUGGAGGAACACCGAUGGCGAAGGCAGCCCCCUGGGUCAAAACUGACGCUCAUGCACGAAAGCGUGGGGAGCAAACAGG